rnacentral:lncRNA from 1 species
UUUGUAUUUUUAGCAGAGAAGGGGUUUCACUGCAUUAGCCAGGAUGAUCUCGAUCUCCUGACCUCAAGUGAUCCGCCCGCCUCGGCCUCCCAAAGUGCUGGGAUUACAGGCGUGAGCCACCGCGCCCGGCCAAUUUCUAAGGCUCCAUUAGGGCUAAGGUUCAUGUAUCCAUGGUGAAGUAUAGAAGAACUCAGAAUCGUUCCAAACAUAAUGGGCUUGGAGUAAUGGAGAACUCCAAGGGCAGGAGGUAACCAUUAAAGAGGACCAUCAUGUAGUGUGAGGAGUCAACAUUUCACACUAGAAAGCCCUUGGUUCAAGUUUUGUCUCUGCCACCUACAGAUUUUGUAACCCUGAGGAAACUAGCUACCUCUUUAUGUACUGCCCUAUGGAGAGGCACACAUGUCAAGAAACUGAGGGAGUGCCUUCCAGUCAACAGCCAGCCAGGAACUAAGGUGCUCAGUACAGCAGCCUCCACAAAGGACUGAACAAUGCCAACAGCUAUUUGACUGUGCUUGGAAGAUCUCCGUUUAGUUAACCCUUCAGAUGAGACCGCAGCCCUGGCCAGCAAACAAAUUGCAGCCUAUGGAAAGACCUUAAGGCAGAAGCACCCAACUGAACCACCCGAGGGCUCUGACUUACAGAAACUGUGAGCAUAUAGUGAAAUGGCCUCUACCUUAUUUUGAAUGGAUUUCUGGGAUAAAGUUCUUCAGUGAUAACAUGUUUGAAGACACUGAAGGAAUUAACCAGAAAGAAAAGAAGAGAAGAAGGAGAAGAAAGAAGAAGAAGAAGAAGGAGAAGGAGAAGGAGACGAGGGAAGAGGGAGAAGAGAGAGAAGAGGGAGGAAAAGAAGAAGAAGAAGAAGAAGAAGAAGAGGAAGAAGGGGAGGAAGGAGAAAGGAGGAAGGAGGAGGAGGAGAAGAAGAAGAGGAGGAGGAAGAAGAAAAUGUGAGUGCAUGAGAGUCUAACAUCUUGGCGUCUCUGUAAAAAUGGGUAAUUUGGCACCGUCCACCUUGUUGUGUUGUGACUUCUUAGAUAAAUACUCCCAUCUUGAUAUUUCAUUGGUGUCAAAGAGUGCAGGCUGUGGAGUUACACUUCGAGGGUUCAAAUCCCAGCUCUAUUUAGAAUUUGGACAACUUAUUAGACUUCUGUGCUUAGUUUUCCCAUAUGCCAAAUGGGGUACCCUUCAUAACUAUGAAUCAUUUAUUGUACAAGCUCCCAGAAUGGUGGGCAGGGCAUGAUAAAGUUGGUACGGACUCUAUAAAU